CAUUCUGGAUUUUAUAAACGAUCAGAUUGACCCCAAUGAGUUGUUCUUCCAUUCUUCUUUUAAUUAUUCUGUUUCUUUUUAUAUUCUCUAUUCGUUUUAUCUUACCACACUUACAAUCUAUGUAUAAUAACUCAGAACAACUUUGGCUGGCUGAAGCAUUAAUUGAACAUUGUGACAAGUAUUUCUCUUCACCAUUACAGUUUAUACUUCCCGAAAAUGUUGCAUUUUUGGCAUCCGUUGGAGUGGGUAUAUUAACAAAAGAGCGUGGGUUAUUGUAGUAUCCAAGAUGACGACAAACAAUAGUCUUGGCCUGGUUCUGUAAACUUUGCCAACAAACAUUCUUGGUCCCACCAUCAGUGGUAAUUUGUACAACACCUUUGUAAGGUAGAGAUGAAUAUGAUAGAGACAAGUCAUGAACUACAGAAACACGGAAAGAACAAGAUUAGUUAUUGCUUAUUUUGCCAUUUGAAAAGGAUAGUAUUAGUGGUUCUCACUGAUAUGUGGGG